rnacentral:rRNA from 1 species
AUGUUGCAGUGCUCUCCUGUUUUUGCCAAGCUCGUUGAGGGUCAUUCUCCUCCGGUGAACUUCGAGAUCAAUGGGCACCAAUACAACAAGGGGUACUAUCUAGCUGACGGCAUCUAUCCGAGAUGGUCGACAUUUGUGACGACGAUCUCAAACCCUGUGGCAGGAGGCAAGAACGCCUGGUUUGCGAAGCUUCAGAAGGCUUGCAGGAAGGAUGUCGAGCGGGCUUUUGGUGUGCUCCAAUCUCGAUUCGCUGUUGUUCGGUACCCCGCUCAGACCUGGUCGAAAGAUCAAAUGUGGGAGAUCAUGACUUGCUUUGUCAUCUUGCACAACAUGAUCAUCGAGAGCGAGCAAGAAGACCCAGUGUUUGACACUGAACCAUACUACAGGCAGGGUCCUCUAGCCGAGGUUGAUCACCAGCUACCGGCAACUUGA